GCGGAUGUGGCGGAAUUGGUAGACGCGCCAGACUUAGGAUCUGGUGCCGCGAGGCGUGGGGGUUCGAGUCCCUUCAUCCGCACCC
rnacentral:tRNA from 1 species